UACGUAGGGUGCGAGCGUUAAUCGGAAUUACUGGGCGUAAAGGGCGCGUAGGCGGCCUUCUAAGUCGAACGUGAAAUCCCCGGGCUCAACCCGGGAACUGCGUCCGAUACUGGGAGGCUUGAAUCCGGGAGAGGGAUGUGGAAUUCCAGGUGUAGCGGUGAAAUACGUAGAUAUCUGGAGGAACACCGGUGGCGAAGGCGGCAUCCUGGACCGGUAUUGCACGCUGAGGCGCGAAAGCCAGGGGAGCAAACGGG
rnacentral:rRNA from 1 species